rnacentral:sRNA from 1 species
CCUCAUUGAUCUCAAACAAGUCGAUGUCAUCAAGUUCUAAACCAGCCGCCUUAACUGCAGCAGGAAUGGCAACUGCUGGACCGAUACCCAUGAUUGCAGGGUCAACACCAACUGCAGCAAAUGUCCUGCAAUAUGUCCAAUAGUGUGCUAC